UCGGGUGACGAGCGGCGGACGGGUGAGUAAUGUCUGGGAAACUGCCUGAUGGAGGGGGAUAACUACUGGAAACGGUAGCUAAUACCGCAUAAUGUCGCAAGACCAAAGUGGGGGACCUUCGGGCCUCAUGCCAUCAGAUGUGCCCAGAUGGGAUUAGCUAGUAGGUGGGGUAACGGCUCACCUAGGCGACGAUCCCUAGCUGGUCUGAGAGGAUGACCAGCCACACUGGAACUGAGACACGGUCCAGACUCCUACGGGAGGCAGCAGUGGGGAAUAUUGCACAAUGGGCGCAAGCCUGAUGCAGCCAUGCCGCGUGUGUGAAGAAGGCCUUCGGGUUGUAAAGCACUUUCAGCGGGGAGGAAGGCGUUAAGGUUAAUAACCUUGGCGAUUGACGUUACCCGCAGAAGAAGCACCGGCUAACUCCGUGCCAGCAGCCGCGGUAAUACGGAGGGUGCAAGCGUUAAUCGGAAUUACUGGGCGUAAAGCGCACGCAGGCGGUCUGUCAAGUCGGAUGUGAAAUCCCCGGGCUCAACCUGGGAACUGCAUUCGAAACUGGCAGGCUAGAGUCUUGUAGAGGGGGGUAGAAUUCCAGGUGUAGCGGUGAAAUGCGUAGAGAUCUGGAGGAAUACCGGUGGCGAAG
rnacentral:rRNA from 1 species